rnacentral:rRNA from 1 species
UACGUAGGGGGCGAGCGUUGUCCGGAUUUAUUGGGCGUAAAGAGCGUGUAGGCGGUUCGGUAAGUCUGUCGUGAAAUCCUGAGGCUCAACCUUGGACGUGCGAUGGAUACUGCCGGGCUAGAGGAUGGUAGAGGCGAGUGGAAUUCUCGGUGUAGCGGUGAAAUGCGCAGAUAUCGGGAGGAACACCAAUGGCGAAGGCAGCUCGCUGGGACGGUACUGACGCUGAGACGCGAAAGCGUGGGGAGCAAACAGG